UCAGGUUGGAGCUGUGAGUGGCACCAUCUUCGGCAGCAUCACUCCAUGGGUAUAUAUCAACACAUUUGAAAAUGUCAGACAAGAAGAGGAAGUUUUCUCUCUGGGAUUUGAACACCUGGAGUGAGAAAAUCUCACAGAAAGGUGAUGGCAGAGAAAGAAGAGAAUGAUUCUUAUUCUUCCUGUAGAAUAUAUUUGAGCACCGCCGAGCAAAGCAAUAGAUCUUCCUUGUAAUAUUUGAUAGAUACUAGUAAAUGGCCUUUUUUCAAUAAUUCGUGGAGCAUAUUUGCAUUGAAGUGGCAUGUUUCUUAUAUAUACAGAGGUAAAGAACAUUAUAUACUUCAACGCCGUCUGCUUCAAGGGCACCCGUCCUCAGCCCUGGGAGCAGCACCAGACAAGAGCCAAGGAGGCUGGCAUUACAAGCAUUUGUGAGAAUUCUAGACAGCUCAGCCAGGAGGCUCACCAACUGAACUGAGGCCGAGGAAGAGGACUGACGUGCUGUGAAAACCAAGGCACAAAGAAGAUGGCUUUGUGGUACAGUUCAUCGACUCGGCAGCACAUGCUCCACGCAGCACGGCCAGCACAGAGCUGAGAAAAGUGCAGGCUCUGAACUGAGGGAGGUGCAGAGGAGGCUACAGAAUUUUCCACUCCUGUAAGUCUGGCCUCACCUUCGGUCACCAACAUACCUUCCCUGCACCCCUCCCACCUUGAAAUCAGCUCCCUCACCUGCAGUGUCCCCAUUCAUUUUGUGAGUUGUCACCUUGAAACAAAACGGCUAUCAGAGAAAACUUCCAAGCAACUAAACUUCUAUGACUAUACCAAAUGAUGGCUGCAGUUCAAAAAAACCUCUAGUUUCAUAUUUCGAAUCACAGAAUGAUUCACUAAGUUGCCCUAGAGCGUAAUGCAUACAAUGUGCUCAUCCAUUAUAAUAAAUGAAAUAAUUCAGUCACAGCCAACGGCUUGAAUAAAAGACAUAUAUCAGACCCUGAGUGAAUUCCAAUAAGAAAGACUGAAUUAUUAGAACAAAGAGAAUACACAUUAGAAUAAGGAGAAUGCACAUCAUCUAUGCAAGUAGACAGAUAAAGGAGAGAAGCAUUCUCUAAAGGCACCACUUAGGAGCGAGCAGGUGUGAAGCACAAUGCAAAGAGCGUGAACUUUGACACUGAACAGAACCAGUGUCCAGCCCUCGGUGUACUGCUCAUUGACAAGUGGUCUUCAAUAAGGCACUUUACGCCUAUGAGUCUCGACUUCUUCAUCUAUACAAUGAAAAUGAUGGUACUUACCUCUUGGGAUUGUUUUGAAGAUUAAAUUAAGUAAUCGUGUGAGAUUCUUAGUAGAUGCUUGUAUUAAGACAGGAGGAAGUUGCCACCCACGUUCCUUC